AUUGAACGCUGGCGGCAGGCCUAACACAUGCAAGUCGAACGAGUGGCGGACGGGUGAGUAAUGUCUGGGAAACUGCCUGAUGGAGGGGGAUAACUACUGGAAACGGUAGCUAAUACCGCAUACCCUCAGAUGUGCCCAGAUGGGAUUAGCUAGUUGGUGGGGUAACGGCUCACCAGGGCGACGAUCCCUAGCUGGUCUGAGAGGAUGACCAGCCACACUGGAACGUGGACACGGUCAAGAUUCCAACGGGGGGAAGCAGGGGGAAAUAUUGGACAAUGGGGGCAAGCCUGAUGCAGCCAGGCCGCGUGUAUGAAGAAGGCCUUCGGGUUGUAAAGUACUUUCAGCGGGAAGGCGUUACCCGCAGAAGAAGCACCGGCUAACUCCGUGCCAGCAGCCGCGGUAAUUC
rnacentral:rRNA from 1 species